CCGAAUGGGGAAACCCAGUGUGUUUCGACACACUAUCAUUAACUGAAUCCAUAGGUUAAUGAGGCGAACCGGGGGAACUGAAACAUCUAAGUACCCCGAGGAAAAGAAAUCAACCGAGAUUCCCCCAGUAGCGGCGAGCGAACGGGGAGCAGCCCAGAGCCUGAAUCAGUAUGUGUGUUAGUGGAAGCGUCUGGAAAGGCGCGCGAUACAGGGUGACAGCCCCGUACACAAAAAUGCACAUGCUGUGAGCUCGAUGAGUAGGGCGGGACACGUGGUAUCCUGUCUGAAUAUGGGGGGACCAUCCUCCAAGGCUAAAUACUCCUGACUGACCGAUAGUGAACCAGUACCGUGAGGGAAAGGCGAAAAGAACCCCGGCGAGGGGAGUGAAAAAGAACCUGAAACCGUGUACGUACAAGCAGUGGGAGCACGCUUAGGCGUGUGACUGCGUACCUUUUGUAUAAUGGGUCAGCGACUUAUAUUCUGUAGCAAGGUUAACCGAAUAGGGGAGCCGAAGGGAAACCGAGUCUUAACUGGGCGUUAAGUUGCAGGGUAUAGACCCGAAACCCGGUGAUCUAGCCAUGGGCAGGUUGAAGGUUGGGUAACACUAACUGGAGGACCGAACCGACUAAUGUUGAAAAAUUAGCGGAUGACUUGUGGCUGGGGGUGAAAGGCCAAUCAAACCGGGAGAUAGCUGGUUCUCCCCGAAAGCUAUUUAGGUAGCGCCUCGUGAAUUCAUCUCCGGGGGUAGAGCACUGUUUCGGCAAGGGGGUCAUCCCGACUUACCAACCCGAUGCAAACUGCGAAUACCGGAGAAUGUUAUCACGGGAGACACACGGCGGGUGCUAACGUCCGUCGUGAAGAGGGAAACAACCCAGACCGCCAGCUAAGGUCCCAAAGUCAUGGUUAAGUGGGAAACGAUGUGGGAAGGCCCAGACAGCCAGGAUGUUGGCUUAGAAGCAGCCAUCAUUUAAAGAAAGCGUAAUAGCUCACUGGUCGAGUCGGCCUGCGCGGAAGAUGUAACGGGGCUAAACCAUGCACCGAAGCUGCGGCAGCGACGCUGAUGCGUUGUUGGGUAGGGGAGCGUUCUGUAAGCCUGCGAAGGUGUGCUGUGAGGCAUGCUGGAGGUAUCAGAAGUGCGAAUGCUGACAUAAGUAACGAUAAAGCGGGUGAAAAGCCCGCUCGCCGGAAGACCAAGGGUUCCUGUCCAACGUUAAUCGGGGCAGGGUGAGUCGACCCCUAAGGCGAGGCCGAAAGGCGUAGUCGAUGGGAAACAGGUUAAUAUUCCUGUACUUGGUGUUACUGCGAAGGGGGGACGGAGAAGGCUAUGUUGGCCGGGCGACGGUUGUCCCGGUUUAAGCGUGUAGGCUGGU
rnacentral:rRNA from 1 species